CAGAAUAUCUCUAGUGUUACUUUGUUCUGC
rnacentral:piRNA from 1 species